CCUACGGGGGGCAGCAGUGAGGAAUCUUGGUCAAUGGACGAGAGUCUGAACCAGCCAAGUAGCGUGAAGGAUGACUGCCCUCUGGGUUGUAAACUUCUUUUAUAUGGGAAUAAAAUGUUCCACGUAAGGGAUUUUGUAUGUACCAUAUGUAUCAGGAUCGGCUCACUCCGUGCCAGCAGCCGAGGUAAUACGGAGGAUCCGAGCGUUAUCCGGAUUUAUUGGGUUUAAAGGGAGCGUAGGUGGAUUGUUAAGUCAGUUGUGAAAGUUUGCGGCUCAACCGUAAAAGUGCAGUUGAAACUGGCAGUCUUGAGUACAGUAGAGGUGGGCGGAACUCGUGGUGUAGCGGUGAAAUGCGUAGAUAUCACGAAGAACUCCGAUUGCGAAGGCAGUUCACUGGACUGCAACUGACACUGAGGCUCGAAAGUGUGGGUAGCAAACAGGAUUAGAUACCCUAGUAGUC
rnacentral:rRNA from 1 species